GCUUGCUUUGGCAGCACACAUACUUAAAAAUUGGAAUAAUACAGAGAUUGGCAUGGAUCCUGUCCAAGAAUGCAACAAAAAUCCAGGAAGUGUUCCAUUUCUUU